CGGCCGCCGCCCGCCGCGGCGGGGCGGGGGCACGGGGGGACUCCUACGGGAGGCAGCAGUGGGGAAUCUUGCACAAUGGGGGCAACCCUGAUGCAGCGACGCCGCGUGAGCGAUGAAGCCCUUCGGGGUGUAAAGCUCUUUCGGCAGGGAAGAUAAUGACGGUACCUGCAGAAGCAGCUGCGGCUAACUACGUGCCAGCAGCCGCGGUAAUACGUAGGCAGCAAGCGUUGUUCGGAGUUACUGGGCGUAAAGGGUGUGUAGGCGGCCUUCUAAGUUUGGUGUGAAAUCUCCCGGCUCAACCGGGAGGGUGCGCCGAAGACUGGGGGGCUAGAGUGUGGGAUGGGAGAGUAGAAUUCCUGGUGUAGCGGUGAAAUGCGUAGAUAUCAGGAGGAAUACCGGUGGUGUAGACGGCUCUCUGGACCAUAACUGACGCUGAGACACGAAAGCGUGGGUAGCAAACAGGAUUAGAUACCCUGGUAGUCCACGCCCUAAACGAUGCAUAUUUGGUGUGGGCCAUUCAUUUGGUCCGUGCCGGAGCUAACGCGUUAAAUAUGCCGCCUGGGGAGUACAGUCGCAAGGCUGAAACUCAAAGGAAUUGACGG
rnacentral:rRNA from 1 species